rnacentral:lncRNA from 1 species
CUGCAGAGGAGCUCUCCUUCUCCAACAGCUUGAGACUCUAGGUCUCCGUGCUCGGAUAAGCAGCACCUAAGCCCUUAGUAGUUUGGACUCUUCAUCCGAAGCCAAACCUCUCACUAACGCUUAUUUCUCUCCCAGGAAGGUGUUACAACACUUCAGGAAGCAAUGCAAUGCAAUGAAAUUCAAGAGACUGGGUUGUUGUCCUCUCUAGGCAGGAUACGCUCCAUCACGACACCUUGAAUGGGAAAUCUUAUACCUUGUCUGAGUUGUGUAGGGCUGUGGAGCUUACCACUUUUGUUGAGGGAAUUGCUUUGGGAGCUAUGGCUUUUUAAAAGGAGACUGCCUUCAAAAACAGAUAAGGAGAAAGAACUUUCUCAUAGUAAUGCUACUGCCUUAAUACCGUUUCCUCCUGCCGCCAUAUAUAUCUAGCUGCUUGCAGCUGCCAGGAGACCGAAGGAUGCAGGCAACAAGAGACUGCUAAAGGCAGGAUCCCUUAACAAAAUCUCAGUUACGUGCUGAUGUUCAGAGGAAGAGAGAUAACUGGUUAGGCCGUUUUUAUCUUUGAUGCAAGUGCCAACUGUAAGGAGUCUUCAAGGCUGUAAUGCAUGCAGAGUAUCAUGUGUACGUUCAAGACAAAAAUACUUAGUAGACAUGGAAGACAUUCGCACGCCCCAUCUGGGAUUCCUGACAGCUUGCCAUCUCAUACGUGACAUGGGCCACCUAUGGAAGAACAAUAGAAAUAGAAACCAGCUGGAAGGACUGCUUCCCUCUGCGAUCUGAUGUGAAGCUUGGACUCAAAGCUGGAGAGACGGAGAGAUGGCUGAGCCCAGGCAGGCGUAGCACCAGGCCCAGGAGGAGAAGACCUCGGGCUGGAGGAGAGGUGGCAUUGCCAAGCGGGGUCCUUCCCCCCCUGCCAAUGUAGAGGCAGCAGGGGGCUUCAUCGCAGCUGCUGGGCUCUGCCCCAUGACCAACGCCAAGGACCCGAAGGGCGCGAUGGACCCCUCACCGGCGACCCCCAGCGCGGCAGCAGGCCCCGUUACCUUCUCCCAGGUGUUUGGACAGCAGUGCCAGCUCAUGGAAGCAGGUAAGAGAGCGAGACACGUGUGAUAUAACCUAAACUUCUU